GCCGAGAUAGCUCAGUUGGCAGAGCAGGGGCUUCGUAAGUCUCAGGUCGAGAGUUCGAAUCUCUCUCUCGGCU
rnacentral:tRNA from 1 species